GGGCCGGGCCGGGCCGGGCGGGGAAGGGAAGGGAAGGAAGCGAAGCGGGCGGCGGGGCUGCCACGUCCGCGGGGCUGAGCAGCGGCGGCGGCCGGCGCCCACGUGCAUGUCUCUUUUUUCAACAGCUUUCUCACACUACUCAGCGAAAACUCUCUUGCUGAAGCUUUGGAACAAUGAGCACAAGGUACUACUGGAUAUUUGGAAGCUAAGAUGAGAAGCUGACAUCUGCAUUUUUCAGCACUGUCCAGUCUUUGCAGGAGCAGACAUCUGAAGCAGGAGGGCCUUUCCACGCCUCUCCAGAGACCUUCCCUGGCUUGUCUUUGGCAACUCAUUUUUUGGUGAACAGAAGACUGUA